UAGCUUCUUCGUCUUUUGUCGGCAAAUAACAAAUUGACCAAACCUGCUGUUGCUGAUGUGGCAAACCCUAUACAUAACGUGUCGACUUCUAACUUGUCGAUUGCGUACACCGUAAUGUAACGUGACGCACGUGACACGUGUCACGCAUCCACAUUUCCUCCGGAGCCUCACCGUCUGGCUCUUUCUUUCUCAUCCACGUUUCCGUCAAGGGAGAAGACGAAGAAGCUCAAAGAUUCCUCUGGAUCUACCCACCCCAAAUGGACCUACCACACCAGCUCAAAGCCGUAACUCUCACGCACGUCCGCUACCGCCGCGGCGAUCAGCUCGGCCACUUCCUCGCCUGGAUCUCCCUCGUCCCCGUCUUCAUCAGCCUCGGCGGAUUCGUCUCCCAUUUCCUCUUCCGCCGCGAGCUCCAGGGGAUCUUCUUCGGCGUAGGCCUCGUGAUCUCGCAGUUCAUCAACGAGUUCAUCAAGACCACAGUCGAGCAGGCCCGCCCCGAGACGUGCGCCCUGCUCGAGGCCUGCGACUCGCACGGGUGGCCGUCGAGCCACUCGCAGUUCAUGUUCUUCUUCGCGACGUACUUUAGUUUGAUGGGGUGCAAAGGGAUCGGGUUCUGGUUCGGGUUGAGGAGCAGAUGGAUUCUGAAUCUGUUGCAUUGGUGUCUUGCGGUUGUGACGAUGUAUUCUAGGGUUUAUUUGGGGUAUCACACGGUGGUGCAGGUUUUCGCGGGGGCGGCGUUGGGGGUGGUUGUUGGGGGGAGUUGGUUCUGGGUGGUGAAUAGUGUGUUGUAUCGUUAUUUUGAGGUGAUUGAGGAGAGUGCGUUGGGGAGGAUGCUGUGUGUUAAGGAUACUUCUCAUAUUCCUGAUGUGUUGAAGUUUGAGUAUGAUAAUGCUAGGGCUGCUAGGAAGAACAUGGAGGGCGGCCCAAAGUCUGAUUGAUUUGUUUUUUUCUGGUGAGUCUGAAAUUUCAUCACUGUUUGUUAGAAUAAGCAUAUGGGGAAUCAAUGGUGACUGCUCAAUGGUCGGGAAAGCAUUGUUUAGCCACUGUCUAAGACUUUAUGACAUUGGUGAGAUUAGCUGUCAUAUAAUCAUGAAACUCACAAGAAGAAGAGCCUUCUUCACACUUAUUAUUUAUUAUGUCAUCUUUACUUCCAUUUUCUUUGAUCUAUAUUGAAAGAGACAUUGCUUCAUAAUCGUAAAGAGAAAAAGUUAAUGACUUAUUGAUCUCUCGUUUCGGGAUUCAAGCACUCUUGUGUGUAUUUCUUUAGUUAUCAGGACACAUUACACAUUAUUUACA